GCCCAGACUCCUACGGGAGGCAGCAGUGAGGAAUAUUGGUCAAUGGGCGGGAGCCUGAACCAGCCAAGUCGCGUGAGGGAAGACGGUCCUACGGAUUGUAAACCUCUUUUGCCGGGGAGCAACGGGGUCCUUGCGAGGGCCCGAUGAGAGUACCCGGAGAAAAAGCAUCGGCUAACUCCGUGCCAGCAGCCGCGGUAAUACGGAGGAUGCGAGCGUUAUCCGGAUUUAUUGGGUUUAAAGGGUGCGUAGGCGGGCUGUUAAGUCAGCGGUCAAAUUGCGGGGCUCAACCCCGUACUGCCGUUGAAACUGCAUCCCUUGAGUGCGCGAGAAGUAUGCGGAAUGCGUGGUGUAGCGGUGAAAUGCAUAGAUAUCGCGCAGAACCCCGAUUGCGAAGGCAGCAUGCCGGCUCCACACUGACGCUGAGGCACGAAAGCGUGGGUAUCGAACAGGAUUAGAUACCCCAGUACAC
rnacentral:rRNA from 1 species